rnacentral:snRNA from 1 species
AGAUGUAAGGGUGACCUGGCUGUGACAUGUGUCACCACCCCAUUGAUCACAUAGGCUGAUGUGGUGGGCUAGGUGAGAGUGGGGGUGGGGAGUUCCCACUUCCUCUUUCACUGUUCUAUGUAUGUCCCUCAGGAGCUUCUGCACUCAGGACAAGCUUCCACAAAUAGAGGAGGGCUGGUAUUAGUUAAGGGCACAGAACUAGCCCCACUCCUUUGCUAGGACAUCUAAACAUGCUCUCAAAAAUAUUUCCUAGGACUAUAGAUUAUUCAAUGUAAAAUACUUCCCUUUAAGAUAUUUCCUUUAUG